UGAGUUACGUUGUGUUUUGCUGUGAUCGACUUGGACUAUUAUACUUAAAUUUAUUAUAGUUACGUUCAAUGUUUUUUUUUUUUUUCUUAUCGUGUGAGCAUAUUUAAACUAUGAGCAAAAAAGUUGGCUUACAAUGUGUAUAUUGUAUAUUUUACAAAACCAAAGUUGGGUCACUUUGUAAUCCAUGAAAGUUUCGUAUUUG
rnacentral:lncRNA from 1 species